GAUCAGUGGGGAAACUGGAGAGGUGGCUGUCCCUGUUCCUGCCGGUGCCUGAAGCUUUCAGUGUUGUUCCAUCACACUGUGGCUCCAUACCUUUCCUCCUGUCCUCCCUCCCUGUUGGCUGGAGUCUAAUGUGACACUUCUUCCAAAACACAGAACCGCCUACAUUGUUCUCACUCUGUUGCCCAGGCUGGAGUGCACUGGCGCGAUCUCGACUUACUGCAACCUCCGCCUCCUGGGUUCAAGCGAUUCUCCUGCUUCAGCCUCCCGAGUAGCUGGGUUUCCAGGCGCCCACCUCGGCCUCCCAAAGUGCUGGGAUUACAGGCGUGAGCCACCGCGCCUGGCCUGACACUCCUUUUUAUUGAUUCCAGGUUUUUAGAUAAUAACCCUUUCAACCCCAAUUUCCAAUCAGAAAAUCUUUGAACCCACCUAUGAUCUGGAAGCCCCCGCCUUCAAGUUGUCCCACCUUACCAGGCUGAACCAAUGUACACCUUACAUGUAUUGACUGAUGUCUUCUUGUAACUUCUGUCCCCCUAAAAUGUAUAAAUCAACCUGUCACCCAGCCACCUUGGGCUCAUGUUCUCAGGACCUCCUGGGGCUGUAUCAUGGGCCUUGGUCACUUAUAUUUGGCUCACAAUAAACCUCUUUAAAUAUU